GGGGUAAAAUUAAUAAUAAAUUAUAAAAUAAUAAAAGAAUUUUUAAAAUAAAAAUAAUUUAAUGGGGGUUAAAGUAUUUUAAUUGAAAAAAUUAAAAAAUUUAUAGUUAAAUAGUAUUGUGUAAGAAUUUUUAAAUAUUUGAAAAUAAAUUGAGUUAAAAGUAAUUUUAAUUUAGUGUAUCUUGUGUAUCAGAGUUUAUUUAUAAAAUUAUUUAAAUAAAUAUUUCUCGAAUUUAAAAGAGUUAAAUAAAUAUAAAAGUUAUUGUGGCAGAAAUAUUUUAAAUAUUUAUUUAGAAAUGAAAUGUUAAUCGUUUUUAAAUAUAUCUAGUUUUUUUAGAAAGAAAUUUAAUUUUAAAUUUAUUAAAAAAAAAAUUAAUUAGUUAAUUUUUUUUUUAAUAAAUUUAAUAAUUUAAGGGAUAAGCUUUAAAUUAAAUUUUUAUAAUUAAUUAAUAUUGAUUUUAAAAUUUUUAUAAUUUAAAUUGUUAAAAAAUUAUAAUUUUUUAUAAAUAAUUUUAAAAAAAGAAAAAUUUAAUUAAAAUUUAAUUUUUUAUAAAAAAAUUUAUUUUAAAAAGAAAAAUUAAGAUAAAAUGAUAAAAUUAGUAUAUAAAUUAAAAUAAUAUUUAAUUAAAAAAAAUAAAAUUAAUUAAAAGGAAUUCGGCAAAAAUUUAUAUUCACUUGUUUAUCAAAAACAUGUCUUUUUGUUAAUAAUUUAAAGUCUAAUCUGCCCACUGAUAAUUAUUGAAGGGCUGCAGUAUAUUGACUGUACAAAGGUAGCAUAAUCAUUAGUCUCUUAAUUGGGGACUUGUAUGAAAGAUUGGAUGAAAUAUAAACUGUCUCUUAAUUAUUUAUAUAAUUUAAUUUUUUAAUAAAAAAGUUAAAAUAUUUUUAAAAGACGAGAAGACCCUAUAGAGUUUAAUAUAUUUUUUAAUAAAUAAUUAUUUAUAAAAUUUAAAUUUAUAAUUAAAAAAUUUAUUUUGUUGGGGUGAUAGAAAAAUUAAUAUAACUUUUUUUAUAAAUUAACAUAGAUAAGUGAUAAAAAGAUCCAAAAAUUUUGAUUAAAAGAAAAAAUUACCUUAGGGAUAACAGCGUAAUUUUUUUUUUUUAGUUCAUAUAAAAAAAAAAGUUUGCGACCUCGAUGUUGGAUUAAGAUAAAAUUUAAAUGCAAAAGUUUAAAAUUUUGAUCUGUUCGAUCAUUAAAAUCUUACAUGAUCUGAGUUCAAACCGGUGUGAGCCAGGUUGGUUUCUAUCUUUAGGAAAAUAUAAUAUUUUAGUACGAAAGGAUCAAAUAUUAAAAAUAAAUUUUAUUAAUAUAUGAAUUUUAUUAAUUUUUAUAUAAAUUUUUAAAAUAUAAUUGUAA